GAGGCACUAGCUCAGUCGGAAGAGCACUUGACUUUUAAUCAAGUUGUCCGGGGUUCGAGUCCCCGAUGCUUCA
rnacentral:tRNA from 1 species